rnacentral:tRNA from 1 species
AAAGCUUUAGCUUAAUUAAAGCCUCUGUUUUGCAUGCAGAAGAUGUGGGUUAUUCACCCGUAAGUUUUA